rnacentral:lncRNA from 1 species
AGGAAUACAUCAUUUAGGAAAGAUCCUGGUGCCGAAGGUAGGUAGAAUCUCUACACAGUGGAUGGCAAAUCUAUGUUUAAGGAAAGAGAAUCAUAUGAUGGCUGAAACAUUUUAAAGUUGUUUGAGAACUUCUACUUUGGUUCCCUAAAGUUCAAUUCCAUUUACAUCUCUCAGAGGUUGACAGUGAACAAUUUUGGAAACUACGUCUCCUAUGAAGAAAUCAAUUUCUCCUGAGCUAGAUCUUGGAAAAUAUUGGAAAUUGAACACCUCUUAAGGAUACGAGCAAG